GAACCAGAUUCGCUUGGGGGUCACCCAGCGUAAGGGGGGUCACCCCUGUACCACAAUGUCACUUUGGAGAGGUGUCUGCCACGCUUGGGGGUCACCCAGCGUAAGGGGGAUCACCCCUGUUAAUCACUCCAUUAUGUGCCUCCACUACUGUGUCCUGGGAGGUGUAUCCCUGUGGGGAAGGAGUGUAUCCAAUGGUUGUGAGGUCCAGUGGGAGUAGGGAGCGGAGUAAGAUAUCAGCUCUAUUUAAUUUCCCUGCCAGUAGAUAGAGUAAUGCAUCCACUAUAUACCCACAGCAGGGGACAGUCCAUUCAUAAUCCUCCAGAUGUACAAUAAAAC